CCGACUGCUAUUUGGGUGAGAAUAAGCCAUGCGAGUUGAAUGGGAUACCUAAAGUUCCCAUAGCAAACUGCUCAGUAACACAUGAUCAACUUACCCUAUAGAGAAAAAUAACCUCGGGAAACUGAGGAUAAUGUUUCAUAAUUGAAUUGGCUUGGAAAAGUUUUUCAAUGAAAAGGAUAAAAAAAAUGGUUUUUAUCCGCUAUAGGAUAGGAUCGUGUUCGAUUAUGGUUGUUGGUGAGAUAAUGGCUCACCAAGCCGAUAAUCGAUAGGGGCCGUGAGAGCGGGAGCCCCGAGAUGGGUACUGAGACAACGACCCAGGCCUUACGAGGCGCAGCAGGCGCGAAACCUCCGCAAUGCACGAAAGUGUGACGGGGUUACCCAAAGUGUUCAAUUUGAACUGUGGUAGGUGAGUAAUGUCCCCUACUAGAAAGGAGAGGGCAAGGCUGGUGCCAGCCGCCGCGGUAAAACCAGCUCUUCAAGUGGUCGGGAUAAUUAUUGGGCUUAAAGUGUCCGUAGCCGGUUUAGUAAGUUCCUGGUAAAAUCGGGUAGCUUAACUAUCUGCAUGCUAGGAAUACUGCUAUACUAGAGGGCGGGAGAGGUCUGAGGUACUACAGGGGUAGGGGUGAAAUCUUAUAAUCCUUGUAGGACCACCAGUGGCGAAGGCGUCAGACUGGAACGCGCCUGACGGUGAGGGACGAAAGCCAGGGGAGCGAACCGGAUUAGAUACCCGGGUAGUCCAGGCCGUAAACGAUGCAUACUAGGUGAUGGUACGGCCAUGAGCCGUAUCAGUGCCGUAGGGAAACCGUUAAGUGUGCCGCCUGGGAAGUACGGUCGCAAGGCUAAACUUAAAGGAAUUGGCGGGGG
rnacentral:rRNA from 1 species